CAGUCGCCACGGUAAUACGGAGGGAGCUAGCGUUGUUCGGAAUUACUGGGCGUAAAGCGCGCGUAGGCGGUUACUCAAGUCAGAGGUGAAAGCCCGGGGCUCAACCCCGGAACUGCCUUUGAAACUAGGUGACUAGAAUCUUGGAGAGGUCAGUGGAAUUCCGAGUGUAGAGGUGAAAUUCGUAGAUAUUCGGAAGAACACCAGUAGCGAAGGCGACUGACUGGACAAGUAUUGACGCUGAGGUGCGAAAGCGUGGGGAGCAAACAGGAUUAGAUACCCCAGUAGUCCCUGUCUCUUAUAC
rnacentral:rRNA from 1 species